AAGCUCUAGGAGUGUGGAUAAGAGAAAAAGUGGGUAAAUGGAAUACUUCUAGUGGCAUGAAAGCUCCUCCUUUUCAAAAUUUGGCCUAGUGUUAUGGAGCUUGAAAAUUUGGCCUAGUGUCAUGGAGCUUGUACUGAUUGAGUGUGGAUGCUCUGAAGGUGAUGUCAAUAAUGAUCAUUCAAAGAGAAAAUCUAGGCUAUAAGCAUCACCUUCCUCAAGAGCUUUGAGGAAGUCAGUCUAAAGACAUCAGAAACGCCUGCCAACGCUAACUUCCCACCUGACUUUCACUAUGUGGGCAUUGUAUUUUGAUACAAGAAAACUCCAUUUAAGAAGCCACGGGUGUAAAAGUGCUGAAGCCGACUCUGAGCUGACAGGCAGUCGAGUGCCAUGAAAAAGUCUUGGACGGACAGUUGGAGGCCUGGGUCUUACUUUCACCUCUGUUACUCAUUCUAGGACUUAGGGUUCCACGCCCAACAUUGGAGCCCAACCCGGGGCUUGAACUCACAACCCUGAGAUCAAGAGUCAGACGCUCAACCAACUGAGCCACCCAGGGAUCCCAAAGGCUACAG